GCUGCACUGAAGAUAAUCAGUGUAGUCAGACGGUUCUAUUACAUUGAAACCUAAACUCUAAAUUGGAUAUCGGUUUUUGUUUUCAACAGAAAAUGUAAAAUAUUUAAGAGAGAUUAAUUAAUGUCAGAAGAUCUGUGGAGCAUCACAAACUGCAGGAGAAUUAAACGGAGGAAAAUGGCAAACAAAGAGGACGAGAGAAAAUCUAAUGAAUCGAGAGAAAAAAAGACCCUGAAACUAAUCAGACAGAACAGCAUUAAUAGUGGAAAACCAAACUUUUCUGAUGAUCCAGACAAUUUCAGUGACACACAGACGAGACAGGAGCAGCUCCCUUUACUGGACCUGCAGAAUAUUCUUUAUAUUCAGUCUCUGAUUAAAUACAAUACAUUUAACAUUGUUUGUGUUUUAAUGUUAUAUACAUUCAAAAUAUCAUAUACCUAUUUAAUCAACAUUUCGGAGAGCUCCUACUUGUUCCACCUGACAGAUUCAUUUAGGGGUUGAUAGUGGUGCUAGAAAGCAUAAUUAUUUCCCAGUCCUAGGACGUGUACGGCUCCAAAUAGAGUGACGUAUUGUCAUCUUGAGACUGUGGAAUAGGUGCAGCACGUGUCCCUGUUUGCCUAGCUACUUUGUUACCAUAGUAACCUCCAGUAGUUCCUGAUGUAAUGAAUUGUCAUGGGAACUAAUGAUGGUAGCUAUGGUAACAAGGCACGAAAAGGCAAACAGGGAGGCAGAACACAGGAGGAGCACAGACACACACGUUACAAAACAAGAGCCUUGAAACACAAGACAGUGGAUUGCAAUAAAUUUUGUUUUAAAACAAUGUUUUCAUUUUGUUGUAUUGUCUCUCCUAAUGGUCAAAGAUGAAUGAGAGGGAUAUGGAGUUAGAAAUGUG